GAUGAACGCUGGCGGCGUGCCUAAUACAUGCAAGUCGAGCGAACGGACGAGAAGCUUGCUUCUCUGAUGUUAGCGGCGGACGGGUGAGUAACACGUGGAUAACCUACCUAUAAGACUGGGAUAACUUCGGGAAACCGGAGCUAAUACCGGAUAAUAUUUUGAACCGCAUGGUUCAAAAGUGAAAGACGGUCUUGCUGUCACUUAUAGAUGGAUCCGCGCUGCAUUAGCUAGUUGGUAAGGUAACGGCUUACCAAGGCAACGAUGCAUAGCCGACCUGAGAGGGUGAUCGGCCACACGGGAGCUGAGACACGGUCCAGACUCCUACGGGAGGCAGCAGUAGGGAAUCUUCCGCAAUGGGCGAAAGCCUGACGGAGCAACGCCGCGUGAGUGAUGAAGGUCUUCGGAUCGUAAAGCUCUGUUAUUAGGGAAGAACAUAUGUGUAAGUAACUGUGCACAUCUUGACGGUACCUGAUCAGAAAGCCACGGCUAACUACGUG
rnacentral:rRNA from 1 species